UACGGGGGGGAGCAAGCGUUGUUCGGAUUUACUGGGCGUAAAGGGCGCGUAGGCGGCCUGUUAAGUCGAACGUGAAAUCCCCGGGCUCAACCCGGGAACUGCGUCCGAUACUGGCAGGCUUGAAUUCGGGAGAGGGAUGCGGAAUUCCAGGUGUAGCGGUGAAAUGCGUAGAUAUCUGGAGGAACACCGGUGGCGAAGGCGGCAUCCUGGACCGAGAUUGACGCUGAGGCGCGAAAGCCAGGGGAGCAAACGGGG
rnacentral:rRNA from 1 species